rnacentral:lncRNA from 1 species
GGAAAAACAACCACUGAUGUAAUGUACUUUCUAAACUAAACACAAGGCAUACUCUGUUGCAGCCAUUUGAAUAAUGAUUAAAAGGAAAACCAAAACAAAGAUAAUUUGGACUACUUAGUCCUGAAUACUGAAAGAAAAAGUGUGAGCUCUUCCAUGGUGUGUGGCUGGGAAAUAUUAGCCCUGAACUUUAUGUGCUCUGGAUCAUCUCUGCUCCUAGAGGAGAAAAGAAGGACCUACUCCUAGGACACUCUUUGGAAAGAGUGCAGAAGAUUAAUCAAGAGGAAAACGAGCAGAGGUUUAAUUUACACUCCCAUUUCACAGAAAGACAUCACAACAGCACUUGCUUGUGUGAGGUUUCUGACUGCUUUUUAUGGAAUGAAAGAAAAAUCACAUGAAUUUCAGCUGGAGCAAAGCCAUAGAACUUGAUUUCAUAAUGCAAAUCAUUACAACUCUGGUGCAUCUGGUAUGAGUCACUGGUAUAUUUCACUGAAUUUCUUUGUAUCUGAAGUCAAUCCUUUUCCCUGGGAGGCUCCAAAGUAGAAACAAUGAUAAACUGGUUCUCCUGCCCUGAGCACUCAGGUUCAAUAUGAACAAUGACAACUUUGAUAAAGUUACCAAGCAGAUUUUGGCUAGAGCUAAGAGAGCAAUUUAUAUUAAAC